UCAAUAACGUAACAUGGAACAAAACAAAAUACAGGAGUAGCAUACAGACAGAAACACAGGAACAGAAUCAAUAACACCUCAGGGAAAGACCCAACGAUGGUGACAGAUAUAGGGGAGUCCAGGGGAGUCUCAUCACGCACAGGUGUGCAUAACGAUGGUGACAGAUAUAGGGGAGUCCAGGGGAGUCUCAUCACGCACAGGUGUGCAUAACGAUGGUGACAGAUAUAGGGGAGUCCAGGGGAGUCUCAUCACGCACAGGUGUGCAUAACGAUGGUGACAGAUAUAGGGGAGUCCAGGGGAGUCUCAUCACGCACAGGUGUGCAUAACGAUGGUGACAGAUAUAGGGGAGUCCAGGGGAGUCUCAUCACGCACAGGUGUGCAUAACGAUGGUGACAGAUAUAGGGGAGUCCAGGGGAGUCUCAUCACGCACAGGUGUGCAUAACGAUGGUGACAGAUAUAGGGGAGUCCAGGGGAGUCUCAUCACGCACAGGUGUGCAUAACGAUGGUGACAGAUAUAGGGGAGUCCAGGGGAGUCUCAUCACGCACAGGUGUGCAUAACGAUGGUGACAGAUAUAGGGGAGUCCAGGGGAGUCUCAUCACGCACAGGUGUGCAUAACGAUGGUGACAGAUAUAGGGGAGUCCAGGGGAGUCUCAUCACACACAGGUGUGCAUAACGAUGGUGACAGAUAUAGGGGAGUCCAGGGGAGUCUCAUCACGCACAGGUGUGCAUAACGAUGGUGACAGAUAUAGGGGAGUCCAGGGGAGUCUCAUCACGCACAGGUGUGCAUAACGAUGGUGACAGAUAUAGGGGAGUCCAGGGGAGUCUCAUCACGCACAGGUGUGCAUAACGAUGGUGACAGAUAUAGGGGAGUCCAGGGGAGUCUCAUCACGCACAGGUGUGCAUAACGAUGGUGACAGAUAUAGGGGAGUCCAGGGGAGUCUCAUCACGCACAGGUGUGCAUAACGAUGGUGACAGAUAUAGGGGAGUCCAGGGGAGUCUCAUCACGCACAGGUGUGCAUAACGAUGGUGACAGAUAUAGGGGAGUCCAGGGGAGUCUCAUCACGCACAGGUGUGCAUAACGAUGGUGACAGAUAUAGGGGAGUCCAGGGGAGUCUCAUCACGCGCAGGUGUGCAUAACGAUG